GGGCGUAUAGCUCAGUUGGUUAGAGCGCAUCGCUGAUAACGAUGAGGUCCUUGGUUCGAAUCCAAGUACGCCCA
rnacentral:tRNA from 1 species